GUUUUCCAGAAUGCCAACUUCCGAUCUUUCAUAUUCAGAGUCAGGGUCAAAGUGGAGACCUACAACGACGAGUCUCGAAUUAAGGCCACUGUGAUGGACGUGAAGCCCGUGGACUACAGAGAGUAUGGCCGAAGGCUGGUCAUGAGCAUCAGGAGAAGUGCAUUGAUGUGAGAGGAGCAGUGCCAAUCGGGCAGAAGUUUGCAAAUAGGCAGAAUGGAAUCGAUUUCCUCCCACCUCCGUGUGACGAUCCCAUGUUAGCUACACAGUGCAGAGGCUCUUGAUGGUGGACUAAGCAAUUUCCCCCCUCGUGCGCAUCUCAGAACCCAUCGGUAGGCAAAGGAAAAUACGCUCAGGUGGUUGUGGUGUAGACUGUGUCAGGCCUACGGAGUCAGCCAGUGGCUAGCGCAAGACCAGUCACUCCCUCUGCCUUCAGGCUUCUGUCAAUUUCAUUAUCAUCAAGCAGGAAUUAUGUCGUAAGUCACUGACCCUAACUGCAGACCAUGAAGUAAAUUAUGUAACUAGGUUUUUGCUUCUCCAGUGGUGACCACCCCCCCCCAUCCCCGCUCACAACUUGGGUUCUUCUCAGCGGGGCGAGCUGAGAAGCGGUCAUGAGCACCUGGGGAUUUUAGUAAGUGUGUCUUCCUAGAAUUCGAAGGCUCUCUCUUUCUAGAGGUGCUACAUAGUUGGUAAUGCUUGGAAUGGCAAUAGGGUAGAAUGAUUAAUCAAAGGCAUAUCUUCUAUAUCUGAAGAGUAUCCUUCCUUCAGGGUUUAAUAGACUGAGUCAGAUGGGUCUGAUAUUAAUCAAAAUUGUCUCUUCUGAGGACCGCUGAUAAGCAUUGACUUGCCGUCCCCUAAGGAAAUCCGAGCGGCUACAAAGCGUUUCUUUACUUCUCACUUCAAUUAAUGCUGCGCUUCGCUUGGUGAGUGCGUACUUUUUCUACCUGUACACAUUCCUGCAUUCAUGUAUUUUGUUUUUUUUGACUAAAGCUAUGUUACAUGGAAAGGAUUUUGAAGCCUUUUGUUUCCCUUGCUUUGUUUUAAUAAACAGUAUAUUCUUU
rnacentral:lncRNA from 1 species